rnacentral:rRNA from 1 species
AGUGAACGCUGGCGGUAGGCCUAACACAUGCAAGUCGAACGGCAGCACAGUAAGAGCUUGCUCUUACGGGUGGCGAGUGGCGGACGGGUGAGGAAUACAUCGGAAUCUACUUUUUCGUGGGGGAUAACGUAGGGAAACUUACGCUAAUACCGCAUACGACCUACGGGUGAGAGCAGGGGAUCUUCGGACCUUGCGCGAUUGAAUGAGCCGAUGUCGGAUUAGCUAGUUGGCGGGGUAAAGGCCCACCAAGGCGACGAUCCGUAGCUGGUCUGAGAGGAUGAUCAGCCACACUGGAACUGAGACACGGUCCAGACUCCUACGGGAGGCAGCAGUGGGGAAUAUUGGACAAUGGGCGCAAGCCUGAUCCAGCCAUACCGCGUGGGUGAAGAAGGCCUUCGGGUUGUAAAGCCCUGUUGUUGGGAAAGAAAAGCAGCAGGUGAAUACCCCGCUGUUCUGACGGUACCCAAAGAAUAAGCACCGGCUAACUUCGUG